GUUCCUGGCCCUUGCCUGCUCGUGGAGCGAGAGGGCCAGGUCAGCAGCAGCGGGUUGGGUGGCUGCAACUGCACCAGGGAGGGCAGAUCCUGCCUGUUCCCAGCCCCUUCCAAGAGCACAGGAAGGCUCGGAUCCACAGCUGCAGUUUUGGCUGAUGUAGCCCCGCUACGUAUUGCAGGAGGGUGGGGCUCCUGCCUGUUACGUGAAGCAGGGGGCCUGGAUCUGCUGCCGAGGUUUGAGGUUUGGGCGGCUGCAGUGGCACCCGGGAAGUUUCUGCCCCAAAUCAGAAGGAGUGGGGCUCCCACUGACUCCACAGAGUGUGCAGCCCCAGCCCUCCUCUCUGCUGCAGCCGGGGUAAUGGCAGCAGCUGUUGCCAUCAACUGCAUUUGGAAAUAGAACCUUAAAAGAGGUACUUAAGUUAAAAUGUGGUUUUAGGGUGGGUUCUAACUCAAUACCACUGUGCCCUUAUAAAAAGAGGAGAUUAGGACACAGUCGACAAAGAGGAUGACCAUGUGAGGACGCAGCAAAAAGGCGACCACCUGGGAGCCAAGGAGAGAGGCCUCAGAAGAAACAAAACCUGCCAACCCCUUGAACUCAGACUCUCAGCCUCCAAAAUUGUGAGAAAAUUCUUCUGUUGUUUAAACCAUCCAGUCUGUAGCAUUUUGCUAUGGCAGCCGUAGAAAACUCAUACAAAGGGUAACAGCAAGAGUCUAUUUGUCAAGAUUUCUCCCUAAAGCCCUUUGGCUACUCAGGAAGGCCCUGCGUGAAACUUGCCAAGGAUUCCAUAUGACAGGUUCUCACUCUGUCACCCAGUGGCACAGGCUGGAAGGCAAUGAUGUGAUCACAACUCACUGAAGCCUUGAACUCCUGAACUCAAGAGAUCCUCCCUUCAGCCUCCCGAGUAGCCAGGACUACAGACAUGGAGCUGAAGAAGCUGGCAACCCAGAAACAUCAGGGGAAAUAAACCAAAAAGCCCCAACAAAUGGCUGCUUUCUCUAGCUAAGGACCAGAAAAUGGGCAACCUAUCAAGGCGAAGAACUCUUAGACAAUAACCUCUCUAUUCCCAACAAUGCCAUGGAUAAAACUGUGACCUCCCGACACACCAACCGACCUCAAGAGAAAAGACUGAGAGAAGUGCCUAGACUCACUUUUCCCAGGCACUAGAGUCAACAACAAAUUGUUAUUUUUACCUUUCCAAGACAAUUAAAAAAAACUCAAAACACUUUAGUCCCUUUUACCUUCUCCAGCCUUUUGUGCUUGUAUCAUGCAUUUGAGUUAUAUGUACAUUUUAAACCUCAAAAGAUAUUAUUAUUGUUGUGCAGCAUAAAUACUCAUUGAGUUUUCCCCACGUAUUUACAUUUCCCAUGAAUUUUUAUAAUUCUCUGUUUUUCUGUGGUCUCAGUAGAGAUUAUUUCCUUUAAUCUGAAGUCUCCUUUUAGUGUUUCCUUCAGCAUGUGUCUUCUGCUGAUGAAUUCUUUCACUUAUCUUCACGUUUGAUGUUUUUCAAUGGGUACAAAAUUAUUGGUUGGCUGUAAUUUUCUUUUAAUACUGGAAAAAUAUCAUUCUCUUGUUUUCUAGCUCUGUCACUUCUUUUGAAAAGUCAACUGUCAAUAUUGUUAUUGGUCCGUUUAUGGUGAUAUGGAAUUCAUUUGGGGAAUGGAGCUGAUUUUAAGAAAUUUCUCUUUACCUUUGGUUUUUAUCAGUGUGAACAUGAUGUGCUUAGACAUGGCAGUUAAUGCUUGAGGGUCACAGAGUUUCUUGAAUCUGCAGCUUGAAAUUUGAGAAAAUUCUUAUGCAGAUUAUCUUCAAAUAUUCCUUUCCUAUAUUUUCUGCAUUCUCUUCUUUUGCUUCUAUUAAUGUAUUUGUAUUUAUCUUUUCACUCUAACUGUAUUUCACAUGUUUUUGGCUUACAUUUAUUUUUCAUUCUUUCUUGUCUUCAUCCGUUGGUCUCGAUGUUUCCUAGUAACCUAUCUUCCAGUUUACUAAUCCUUUCUUUUUCUGUGUCUAGCAUGCUGUUAGUCUAUCUAUUGAUUUUAUAGUUUCAGAUACAGAUUUUUUUUUCAGUUUUAAAAUUUUCAUUUGAUUUAUAUAUAUGUAUAUAUUCAAUUUGGGGUUAAAUUAUACAUCUUUUUUUUUACUUAUUAGUUAUUUAAAAAUCCAUAUAUCUAACUCUAAUGUCAUUCUUGCCUACAGCCUGUCUGUUGCCUAUUUUUCUCUGGGUUUUCCUUAUUUCAAUCUAUAUAUAUUUCAUCCUAGAUGUCCAUUCAAGUGCAUUACAGAUAUUUUGUUUAAAAAAUUAUACAGGCUCUGAUGUUAGAGAUUAUCUUGAAUCAGUUUAAGAAGUGAGAUAAUUGUUCACUGUGUUGUAAGGUCUAUGUAGAUUGAUUUAUUUCCAGUCUGCUCCCACCCUAUCAUAGACUUUUAGGGGUCUUAACUGAAGGUCUAAGGUAUUUACAAAGGAAGGCUCCUCUUCUUUGGCCAAGUCAAACGACACUUUUUUUUUUCCCUCCCCAGUCCCGUAAAAUGCCAAAAUCUCUGCUUGGCUUUUGGGCCUCUCAGUAGUCAUUUUUCAUUUGGUUUAUUCCCUUCUCAAUUCUUUAAAGCUUUGGUUUAGGCCCAUUUCAUAGCCUAAAAAAUUGGGUGAAGAAAUUGGGAAGAAAAGGCAUACCAAAUACGAGACUCACUUCUCUGUGGCUCCUUUGUUCUCCAGGAUUUGCCUGCUUUGAUAGCUCUUAAUUGGAAUUUUUGUUUCCAUAACCGUGUGGGACUGCUUAAAGCUCCAGGUUGUUACUGUUCUGGAGAGAAAGAAGCGAUGAAAAAUGUGCCCACCCACCUCAAUACAUUUUUCUUCUCCUAGUGUUACUGACCUCUCAAGUUGGGCUGUCUUUUUUGAUGGCUAAUGUUUGCAACAACCAUGGAUGUUGUGUUGUCAUUUUUGUUGUUUUCUAUCCAGCUUUUACAGGUUUUCUUGGUCAGUGAGUUGGUUUGAUACAAGCUACUCUGUCACUUUUAAAAACAGAAGUCUUAGAGACGAUGCACUUAAACAAAAUCAAUACAAUGAAAAAAAUUAUGGGAGGCUGAUUUAUAAAAAUGAAAUUAUAAGAAAGGUAACACUGAGUUUUAUUUGACCCCAAGUAAUAUAGCCAAAAGGUUAACAGUGUCAACGUAAGUAACUGUUGAAGUCAGAGAAAAGAAAUAUACCUGCUAGGCUCAGGGAUGAAAAAAUUAAGAGUUUUCAAACCUUGAUACUAAAAUGGGGAGAGACUGUUAAAAAUCAUAUAAUAAGAGAAAUACCUGAGUGCACAAAGUGUUUGGUCUGGAUGAAAGUAGGUAUGAAUGGGGGUUGAGAUGGAAUUAAAGAAGACUUUAAGUAUUUGAUCAUUUCAGUGAGGAAAGUAGAAAUGAUCUGAAUUGAUCUGGAUAGCUAGAAAAUUUCGGAAAGUAUUAAAUUGGUGCAAAAGUAGUUGCUGUUAAUGGCAAAACUGCAAUUACUUUUGCGCCAAUCUAAUAGAUGUUGCCUAAAUCAAAAAAUAAUACUUUUAACCAUUAAGGCUAUCCAACACUGCCCUGGGGUCUUCCAGAAAGUGUUAAGUCACUUUUAAUACUUAAUAUUACAUUAGUUGAUCACAGACAUUGAUGUUAAAAAAGAGAUUUCUUAAUUAGGGGGUGAGUUGCAUGGUGAUAGAAAGACAACAAUUAUUAUUAUUUUAUUGAGAGUGAAUUAUAUACCUGGUGCUUUAUAUAUAAGCAUCUUAAAUUAAAUACAAAUUUAAUACUUAUGAGUACAAUACUUAUUGAAUACUUAUAAGUUUAGGAAUUAGAUCUAAUUUUUAUUCUCACUUUACAAAUGAGGAAACUGAGGUAUAGAGGAUAAAUAAUUGGCCUAGUGUCAAGCAGCUAGUAAAGGGAGGAGGUGCGACUUGAACCCAGGUAACCUAUCUCCUGAGACCACACUUUUAGACAUCACAUUAUGCUGUCCAAGUUAAGAUUGGUUAACUUUAUAAGCUGUUAGUUAUCCUUAAAUAGAUGGGGUAUAAACAACAGCAGUCAUAUUAACAAUGUGUAGUUUAUUUGUUUACCCUUAGAAUAAUGUUGCAAAUAAAAUAGUUACAGAUUCUGUUAUUUGCUAUGUGCUUUAACAAAUCAGUAUAAAAAACAAAGGCUAUGACCUAACAAAGUUUCUUUUCUAAAGAAUUCAGACAUAAAAGCAUAUAAGGUACUGUACUGAUAUAUAAAAUUUGUCAAUCUGUGCAUGUGUGUGCAUAUAAAAUAAAUUUACCAUGCAGGUAGCCAUCUUAUGUUUUAAUAUACCCUUACCUAAUUAUAGUAGUGAACUUGAUGAAACUUGGAAAUGCUAUUUAUUAUGAUUUUAAUACCUACCUUGACUAUCCUGGCUGACUCUUUAAAAUAAUUUUUAAAAGCACACUUUUAGAACUUGCUAGGCAAAUGAUUCUAAGGUUCUGUUUGUUAUCCAAGUUAUCAUUCCAUAACCUUUGUCAGAAUGUUCUCUCUUAUUUAUGACUGAAAUCCUGCAAUAGAAACCAAAACCUAUAUGCCUCUAUUACUAUACCAAAUGAAGGCAAGUUUCAUCCAUUAUGUGUUUGGACCUAUUUGAUGCCAGCCAGUUAACAAACAUUAACCUUUUCCUAAAGAUGUCUUUAUAAUUUUUUUUGUUCAAUUUCUCAUAUGUUGAAGAAUCAAUCUUUAAUUUUGCCUCUCAUGAUUAAUAUGAGGACCCACAAUAGAAAGUAACUGAAAGUAGGCAUUAGAUUUACUAUAUUUGAAAGGUUCACAAAAUAACAUUAAAAAGUGCUAUUCUACCUCAGUAUGAUUAUGACAGCUGACCUCCUUAAUUAACUCUGUAGCUACAUUUCAGAUUUUCUCAGAGCCCUUGACACAAUUGUUUCAGGGUUUGUUUUAAAGCCUAUUUUUCUCUUUCAUUUAAAAAAAAAACUUCAAAGGAGUCUGGUAUUUCAGAAAACUGUCAAGAUGUGUUGAAACGUAUUUAAAAGAAUGCAUAGUUUCAUGAAUUGGCGUGGUUUGUGCACAUUAUUAUUUUUUCAGGUUUUUCGCUACAUAUAAAGAAGGAUAAGAAUUCUGUGUGGGGGAAAUAUUAUGGUUGUCACAGGGCAAAGGGGGUCAUCCAGUAUCUUUCACUUUUCUCCAGAAGAAAUUAAGAGAAGAAUUCAUCAAAUGUUAAUGUUAAGAACUCAGAAACUCUGGAAUGUUUGUCCAGAGUCCCAGGCCUCAGAGCAAAUGCUCUUAUGCUGCUGGGCUCCAGGGAAAGAUUUCAGCCAAAGUCAAUAUGCACAGAAACUCCAUCUGACUGAAACUGUGGAAACAGCUGUAACUACUUAGCUGGAAAACCACCUUAGAUUCCUCUCCCAGAAUACGCUGAUGACAUGGGAGAUGGGGAGCAGGAAAGCUCUGUCAGGAUCUCUCUUCAGCUGUGGUCAGAAAAAAAAUAUUUUCUUUCCCUGAAAGCUGUAAAUAGAUGGGUUUAUCUCUGGUCAUAAUAAACCACCACCACCCCCCUAAAUUUCUUUUUUGCCCUUAAAUUUGCCCAUGUCUCUUCCUUUCUUUGUGUAUUAAUCAGUAUUUGAUUUAAGUCAUCUUUUAUGUGAAAUUUUUAAAAAGAUCCACUUGAUCUUAGAUACAUCUUCUAAAUGUGAUUGGAUGGGAUUCACAUUAGUAUUAGAGACCAACAUGGUCAAUGGAUGUUUAAUUCUGAUAAGGUUUCAAUUUAUGAAUAUAUACAUAAUUCUUUGGUUUGAGAUUUUAUUUACCUCUUAUUGUUCUUCAUGGUACUUUUUUGCAUUAUUCUUAGAAGAAAAUAAAAAAUGCUACCAGAAACAA